rnacentral:tRNA from 1 species
GCUCCCAUAGCUCAGUCCGGAUAGAGCGACCGCCUCCUAAGCGGUAGGCCGCAAGUUCAAAUCUUGCUGGGAGCGCCA